AAUAUGGAUAGUAUUAUCAUUAUUAGUAUUACGUCAACAUUAACUCAACAAUUGUAUUGUUGACAUGAAGAAAAAGCUAUUUCGAGGUUGUUUUGACCAUUGAUUGCUAAUAACACCUGGCGCCGUGACCUGGAUGCAGAUUCUAAGCAGAUGGGCCAAAAUGGGGGCAGCUAGAGAGACUCGCCUGGAACUGACAAGCCUGGAGGGAGCUGGUUGACUGUUGGCGAGAUGGGACAACAGACGAAGAAUAAACGAACCUACUUGAUUUGAUAAACAUUUUUAUGUUUUUCAGUUUCAUCGGAAGACAUUUCCCACCAACCAUCCUGUCUUGAAAGAAAUAACUUUUGAACCCGAUUAUCUGAUAUUUUCCAGUUUCCCCUCACAACAAUUUGCAUCAAACCUCUUGUCUGCUCCUCAGCUGAAAUCAUCAUCUAGCAGUCACAAUAGUUGAGCGGUUGGAGAGGCAUGCAUUGCGUCCUACUACUGCUCAGACUAUAUCAUGUUUGGCAGACAAAACAUGCUGAUCAAAAAGAAUGUGUACCACAGGGGCCAGUGUUUCCAUUUGAGUGAUUGACAAGAAGAAGAGAUGAGAAAUGUUAUCAUCAUAUUUUAGUCCCUACAUUUAUAGUGUACAGCUCAAUGUAUUGAACCGGUGUUGUAGAAUAUAAUUGGAGAUACAUGCUAACAUUAUAACAUUAUAUAUAAGAUGAUAUUUCAAAAGCAAUACGAAAUAAAAAGUAUAAAAAGGUCAAAACAGUGAACCUUGUGUUUACAGUGGACAGGUUUAAAGUGGAAGUGACUAGUUAACUGUUGAUCAUAAGCUGCACUGAUGGAAAAAAUAGUGGGCAAUUACUAUCUAGAAAACUGUUUAACGUACGACAACAGUUGUGGAACUUCAUAAAUGACCGUAUGUAACAGGGCUGGGCAGUUUUCCUUAUAUAGCUAUAGUGAAAACUUUUGAACACAAGUGAAGUCACUGUUUUUUUUCCAAUCUUCAUGCAUUUUGGUCGAAUAUUUGUUCAAAUGAUGGCUCAGUCCAGUUUCGAAAUUUUUAUGUCUAUUCAAAAAACAUAUCCACUAGAGCACGAGGCAAUUGUCUUUAUAUGGCUAUAAUGAAACCUUGUAAAUUCUCUAGAAGUGACAUUUUUAGCCAUAUUUCCAUAAAUUUUGGUCAGAAUAUUUAUUCUAAUGAUAGCUCAGUUGUCGAGUUUGUAACUGGUUCCGGUUUGUAGACUAACAUGGCUGCCAGUGGACAUGACAGUUUUUCUUAAAGUGCUAAAGUAGAACCUUGUUAACACAUAAUUGGCCCUUUUUAUGUGCAUUUUUCAUGAAAGAUGAUCAGAGCAUUUGGCCCAAUGUAAUCUCAGCUGACUUUGAAACUGGAUCACAUAACGUCAAAAAGUGGGUCAAAAUGUCAAAUUAAAAAAAGCUUGUAAACACUGGAAGUUGCAUUUAAAAUUGUGUUCCUUUUUUAUGUCCCCCACUAUAGUAGUGGGGGACAUAUUGUUUUUGCCCUGUCUGUUGGUUGGUCUGUUGGUUGGUUGGUUUGCGCCAACUUUAACAUUUGCAAUAACUUUUGCAAUAUUGAAGAUAGGAACUUGAUAUUUUGCAUGCAUAUGUAUCUCAUGGAGCUGCACAUUUUGAGUGGUGAAAGGUCAAGGUCAUCCUUCAAGGUCAAAGGUCAAAUAUAUGGGUCAAAAUGGCUCAUUUAAUGUACACUUUUGCAGUAUUUCAAUAUUCAAGAUAGCAACUUGAUAUUUGGCAUGCAUGUGUAUCUCAUGGAGCUGCACAAU